CAGUCAUACCAACGGGAAAUCAACCUUUUGAGCUCGGUCUCGUGGGUUUUGAAGAGUUACAAAGCCUUCGGAUUCGCGGGAUUGGGAUCUCUUGGUGUACUUUUUCGCACGGUUAGUCAACGUCGGUUUUGAAUGUCAUAAAAUGACUGGAGGAAUGUAGCUUCGAUCUCGUAUUGAAGUGUUAUAGUCUUCGGCAGAUGUGAUGAUCGGGAUUGGAGGAUUGCAACGGACUACCCGUUCGGGG
rnacentral:rRNA from 1 species